ACGCUGGCGGCGUGCCUAAUACAUGCAAGUCGAGCGGACAGAUGGGAGCUUGCUCCCUGAUGUUAGCGGCGGACGGGUGAGUAACACGUGGGUAACCUGCCUGUAAGACUGGGAUAACUCCGGGAAACCGGGGCUAAUACCGGAUGGUUGUCUGAACCGCAUGGUUCAGACAUAAAAGGUGGCUUCGGCUACCACUUACAGAUGGACCCGCGGCGCAUUAGCUAGUUGGUGAGGUAACGGCUCACCAAGGCGACGAUGCGUAGCCGACCUGAGAGGGUGAUCGGCCACACUGGGACUGAGACACGGCCCAGACUCCUACGGGAGGCAGCAGUAGGGAAUCUUCCGCAAUGGACGAAAGUCUGACGGAGCAACGCCGCGUGAGUGAUGAAGGUUUUCGGAUCGUAAAGCUCUGUUGUUAGGGAAGAASAAGUGCCGUUCAAAUAGGGCUGGCACC
rnacentral:rRNA from 1 species